rnacentral:rRNA from 1 species
GAUGAACGCUGGCGGCGUGCCUAAUACAUGCAAGUCGAGCGAACAGACGAGGAGCUUGCUCCUCUGACGUUAGCGGCGGACGGGUGAGUAACACGUGGAUAACCUACCUAUAAGACUGGGAUAACUUCGGGAAACCGGAGCUAAUACCGGAUAAUAUAUUGAACCGCAUGGGUCAAUAGUGAAAUACGGUUUUGCUGUCACUUAUAGCUGGAUCCACGCCUCAUUAGCUAGUUGGUAAGGUAACGGCUUACCAAGGCGACGAUGCGUAGCCGACCUGAGAGGGUGAUAGGCCACCCUGGAACUGAGACACGGUCCAGGCUCCUACGGGAGGCAGCAGUAUGGAAUCUUCCGCAAUGGGCGAAAGCCUGACGGAACGACGCCGCGUGAGUGAUGAAGAUCUUCGGAUCGUAAAACUCUGUUAUUAGGGAUGAACAAAUGUGGAAGUAACUAUGCACGUCUUGACGGUACCUAAUCAAAAAGCCACGGCUAACUACGUG